UAAAUGAAUCCGUACAUUCACGUAUUAUAAUUUCCUAACUAUUCACACCGUAGCUGUACUUGUUAAACUCUGAACCGUUAUAACAUAAACGGAGACAACGUUCGUCAGAUAACAUCUACAGGUUUUUCCAGCUGUUUCAUCAAACUUGUGUUAAGCGCUGCGGCCUACUUUACAUUCACUCUGAGUAAGGUGACGCUGUCACCAGGAAACUUCUAUUUUUCUUCUUCUUCUUUAUUAACCCCGCCCUCGCUGGUCGGGACUGGAUCCUCUGGCUGCAGCGGUGAGAAGUGCUGCACUGUCCUGCCUGCACAGUUCCUGAAAGACGUCGCAUCAGCAGCAGGUCAGCAAGUUAAGAAGAGAAACAAAGCAGAAAUACAUCGUUACAACUGAUAUAAAUAAUCCAGUGGGAGCAAGAAAUACUUUUACUUCAUCGUAAAUUCCCAAAGAGACACAAGGGGUUUGUGCUUGGUGCUGCUUUCAGGGACCUCAAAAUCUUAACACAUUUUGUGUUUGUAUUCCAUCUGGAAAUACAUAAAAUACAUUAUACAUAAUAAUUGUAUACGUAAAGUAGUUUAUUAAGGUUUCCCAUUGCAUUUAACAGUAACACAUACUUCUUCUGCAGCACUUUAAGGCGAUUAAAUCAAAAUACAACAGUACAGUGUCACAAAUAACCUUGUUUAUUGCCUUGUGAAACGUAUAUCCUUAAGAUAUUUGUCACAUUAAAAUUACAUAUAGAUUGGAUUUUAUUUGGAUUUAAUGUUGGGUCACGAAGUCCAGUCCUGAAAAGAAUACGGAGAGAUAGAAAUUUAUUUUAUUGUCCCUCAGCAGGAAAAUUCAGGUGACAAGCAAGCCGAAGCACUUACACAACAAUAAAAAUAUGGAAAAAUAGAGGAAGCCUGUCUGAAUAAGCAAUAAACGUAUUAAUCUCAGAAUAAAUUAAAACAAGCUUGAUCAUUUCAAUUUGCAUGAUUGUUUGGUUUUUCGUUUCUCUCUCUUCCAGAGACAGGAUGGAAACGGCCCUCUUUUUAAAUUGCAGUUGUAUUUACAGAGACUUUAGUAUCCAUUUUAUUUGAAGUUUUGGUUGUUCUGUUUGUUUAUUUAUUUUUAUAUAUUUAAAAUGUCUUCCAGUUCCAAUAUUAAAUGUUUGUGAGAAAUUAAAGUUUAUAGAUCUUUGAGACGGUGUACAUUAUUAUGCCAAUACUCUUAAAACAACAUUAUUAUUGUUUAUUGCAAUAACGUCUGAUAACAAAUUUUGUUAUCAGGCCUAAAUAGAAGUAAUAAUAUCUUACUGCACAGUAAUUUAAAGAAAAAAGUGUGCAGUUAUUAAAAAUAACACACUACGGUUGCAAGAGUUAGCAGACGUGAAAAAAAAUAAUUUUUGUAAUGCAGUUCCCAAAGAAAGUGCAGAUGCGAAAAUAAAACAAAAACCUUUUUCAGUCAGAAUUUAACCAGCAGUCCUUCCACUAACUGCAGCAAUGCUCCGUAAUAUAAAACUCUGUACAAAUAAUCAGAAAGAAAUUAAAUUGUGAAGACUAUAAUGGCUGUGUUUCUGCAUCCUGAAAACUGUAAAGCUGUUUUCACACUAACAGGAACACAAUAAAGCAUGAGCUCAGUCUACAGUAAACAAUAACGUUUCAUGUAAUGCCAGAAUAAUGCUGAGAAGACUAUUUCACCAGGUGAUCUCAUACGACAGCUGAUUUCCCCAUCGAUUCUAUGAAAAGCAGAAAUACAAUAACAUAGAAAACAACAAUGCAAAAUAAAACAAAGACAACAAAGAAGUUUGAGGCAAUAGUAAAGCAACAGCAUCUCAUUCUCGGCGAAGGAAGAAUCUACUUGAAACAAAGAAGAAAACAUACAAUUUUCGACACUAUGAGGAAAUUAUUUCUUGUAACAUGUAAAACAAAUGAUGUAAUGUAGGAACUAACUGCAAUGAUCACUUCUGAGGUAUGAGAAACGUUGUCUCCGUUUAUGUCACAACGGUUCAAAGUUUAGCUACGGUGUUAAUAGUUAGUCUGCUGAGUCCUGCAUUUUUACAAUUAUUUAAUUUGAUGCAGCUUAUUAAUACAGCAACCAUUGCCUCAGUGCGAUUUAAAAGAAAAACUCAACCAGUUCAUUUCCAAUUAUAUGCAAAACAAAUGAAACUCACACAAAUCCACUCCAACGGUAUAAUUUAUUGACAUACAGUUCUACGUAAUCCUGAAUAUAAAUGUAAUCUCUAUCCGCAGUCAUUCAUUUUGCAGCUAUUCCUCCUGCAGCAAGCAUGUGGGGAUUGUGGAGAGGAAGGAAUCCACUUAAAAAAGAAGAAAAAAUACAGAUAUUUACGAGCAGUAAUGAAAUUGUUUCCCAGUAGCGCAUAACAAUAAAACUAAUAAGGUAAUUAGGAAGUGUGAGCCAUCAAAUGAUGUAAUGUAGGAACUAAUUGUAGUGAUCUGCUGUUUACAUUUGCAGGAACUCGAGAGACACAGGCUUGCUGACUCCUGCAUUUUUAUAUUUAUUCAAUUUAACAAAAGCUGUUUUUAAAAUAACCUCUAACUUUGUGUGAGCUGCCAUCUGGGGUUUUAUUGAAUAAACUGAUGCAUUUUCCUUUCCUUUUCAAAUUCACUUUAUGCACUUUAAUGUAUUGAACACAUUUUUUAUUUUUUAUAAAAGACACUCAGGACGCUCUUCGCUGUGCAAGAUAAGCUCUGGUUUUAUCCAUUUCAGUUCUCGUCUUCACAUUUCAAAUAUUCAUCCUUUCAUUCUUCUUUUAUUCAAACAUAAUCAGCAGUUUGCAGGAUGAGGACUAACAACCUCUGUUGCUCCUUUUGAUAAUAACCGCCUUGACAGAACCCGACUUCCUUCUUUUCUCUCAGCACAAAUAAAAUUGUCCUCAUCUGACCUGAAAACAUGUUUUGCUGUGUUUCUGUGUGAUGAACUCAUUCAAACUAAGCUUCUGUUUCUUUGAACACAGCUGCAUUUCUGUGCAGAAUUAAAAUAAGACUUCGUCCUAGCAUAAUGCAGUGCACAUUUUGGAGGCAGUCAGUGUUUAGUAACUGUAGUUUUGCUGUUGUCAUUACAGUAGGAUAAACAUUUCUCACAUUCUGCAAAAAAAAUGUCAGGUUUUUGGUUUUGGCCUGUCCUCACUGGGAACUCCCCAGCCUCCAUAUUUAAGAAACUUUAUUGUAACGUAAAACUGUUAAAAGAUACAUGCUUAGAAAUAUAUAUAUUGUUGCAAAAUCAAAAACUUUACACCAAGGAUCAACACCAAAAUAAUUAAUUUGGUAAUAAAAGAUUUGUCAGUGGCUUUUUUCUGCAUUAAAACGAGAUACUUAGCGUUCUUCCAGACAGGAAAAUCUUAAAAAGUUAACCUAUUUCAGUAAAUACAUUCAGAAAGGGAAACGGAUGUCACAUAUGCAUAGAGAAAUAUAUUUCAACCACGUGUUUCUGUUUAUUUCGAGGUCGUUUAGCCCUCUAAAGCUGUUUUACUGCAACUUUUUUUGAAUUCCUGGACUGGACAAUUGAUGCAAACCUGAAAACCCAAUAAAAAAACUAAGUUAAUUCAGAAAUAUACAUAGUCAUUGCCAUCCGUCUCAAGGAUGGGAAGCAGUAAAAGAACCUGGCUGGUUGCAAAGUACAUAUUAAUAAAAAGUUGAGUGGAAGGAACAAAUGUUGUAAAAGAUAAAUAUACCCAAAAGGGUGUCAACACAUCCUUAAAAUGUCUUAAAUUUAUAUUUAAAAAUGUAAGUUAAACUUAAAUCUUAAAUUUUGUUGAUAUCGUAUAUUCUAUGUAGUUUUUUUUGUCUCGCUUGACUUUUCUGUCAGCAAAAUGUUUGAGUUGCACCCAGACAUCUUCAACUCGAGUCGCUAGCUAGCUGCUAAUAUGCAAACCCUGGCUAACUUAGUUUGUGCAAUUAAAAUACAAAUCAAAGAUAUUAAGAAAACACUACCAGUUACAAUUUAUUAAAAAAAAAAAAACCAAGUAUUGGUUGAAAGAGAAGCAGUUAUAUAUCCAUUCAUAAUGUCUUCCAAUGCUUAUUUCUGUCUGUUAAUUAGUUCUUUCUUGUGUAAAUGUUCUUUUGUUGAUGUUUUUUUUUCUUUUAUUAGAACUAUCUGUACUGUGCUUGCAGAGUACUGCUUGGGUUGCUAGGUAACAGGCAUCGCCUGCUGAUUGGUGACGUUACAUUGCGGAGGCUUUUGAAAUGGCUCAUUUUCAUGACACAAAAAAAUCAUUAACUUAUUGGCAAAAAAUGUCAGGGUGUUUUUUUUUAAGCACUUGGGCCAUUAUACAGCGCAUAAAGCGGUAAACUCAGCUGACCAAAUGUGCUGCAGAUCUUUGGGUUGCUAGGUAACAGGGACGGGCUUCACUCAGGUUGCUAAGUAACCACACAGUGUUGGUUGUGACUUAACAAUGAGAAGGUUUUUGAAACGGCUCAGUUUCAAGACACCAAAAAGCUUUGAUUUUUUUUUUUUUUUGUCAAAAAACAUCUGGAUGUGUUUUUUUAUGCUUUUUUAGGAACACUAGAAACCCAAAUGGAAGCACAGAAAUGUGCACAAUGUGAAUUUUGCACCAUUCGUCCCCUUUAAAUCAGACCUAAUUUCUCCACAAGCUUCUCGCAACAGUUUAUUGCACUUUUGGUCCAAAACUCUUGACAGAACUGUGUUUAAAUCUUCAUCAAUUUGCAAAACCUGCAUUUCAGUUGGUUUAACUUGUACUGUUUAUAAGCACUGAUUUUAUUGUUAUUAAAAAAAAACAUUUAUUUUUGAAGGCAGCAUGAGUGAGGGAAAAUAUAACUUUAAUUUGGUAACAUCAUAUUCAAAUUUCCAAUUUGUCACUGUUUAAAUUGGCAUAGACAUAUCAUAAAUCACAUUAGAACCUCUGACUCUCUAAUUUAAUUAUAUUGCCCGUCCACAAGAUGCAUAUACAAUUAGUUUAUUACAGACACCUGCACCUUUAUGCCUGUUAAAUAAGCUUUUGUGACACUGCACUAAUGUUUGCUCAGUCAGUGCAGGAAUUAAAUACUGAAAUAAAACGUCGUUGCUUCCAGUACAUCGGCCUUUUUCUUGUCAGUGACGAUGGCUGCCGGCGUUUCUCUGUGACGUCGUAAAAAAGGAUUUGUUUUACUGCCCAGAUUAGACUGGCUGACACACAAAAUAAUGUCCAAAGAACUCAGAUCUAAAAAGGAAAAUUUUAGAUUUAUAAUUUCUGAUUCAAAGAUAAUCAGUUUAAAAUUUCCCACUUUGUUUGGAAGAAGUAUGCUUGUUUCUGCCAAAAGUGAUAAAACCAGUUAGGUUUAGGUAGCAAUGUCAUUUCCACACAUGUUGGGCCAUGUUGAUUUGUGCAACUAUUUUCCAUUAAAUUAAAUAAAUCAUUGUUCAAAAA